rnacentral:rRNA from 1 species
GACGAACGCUGGCGGCGUGCUUAACACAUGCAAGUCGAACGGAAAGGCCCUGCUUUUGUGGGGUGCUCGAGUGGCGAACGGGUGAGUAACACGUGAGUAACCUGCCCUUGACUUUGGGAUAACUUCAGGAAACUGGGGCUAAUACCGGAUAGGAGCUCCUGCUGCAUGGUGGGGGUUGGAAAGUUUCGGCGGUUGGGGAUGGACUCGCGGCUUAUCAGCUUGUUGGUGGGGUAGUGGCUUACCAAGGCUUUGACGGGUAGCCGGCCUGAGAGGGUGACCGGCCACAUUGGGACUGAGAUACGGCCCAGACUCCUACGGGAGGCAGCAGUGGGGAAUAUUGCACAAUGGGCGGAAGCCUGAUGCAGCAACGCCGCGUGCGGGAUGACGGCCUUCGGGUUGUAAACCGCUUUCGCCUGUGACGAAGCGUGAGUGACGGUAAUGGGUAAAGAAGCACCGGCUAACUACGUGCCAGCAGCCGCGGUGAUACGUAGGGUGCGAGCGUUGUCCGGAUUUAUUGGGCGUAAAGGGCUCGUAGGUGGUUGAUCGCGUCGGAAGUGUAAUCUUGGGGCUUAACCCUGAGCGUGCUUUCGAUACGGGUUGACUUGAGGAAGGUAGGGGAGAAUGGAAUUCCUGGUGGAGCGGUGGAAUGCGCAGAUAUCAGGAGGAACACCAGUGGCGAAGGCGGUUCUCUGGGCCUUUCCUGACGCUGAGGAGCGAAAGCGUGGGGAGCGAACAGGCUUAGGUACCCUGGUAGUCCACGCUGUAAACGGUGGGUACUAGGUGUGGGGUCCAUUCCACGGGUUCCGUGCCGUAGCUAACGCUUUAAGUACCCCGCCUGGGGAGUACGGCCGCAAGGCUAAAACUCAAAGGAAUUGACGGGGCCCCGCACAAGCGGCGGAGCAUGCGGAUUAAUUCGAUGCAACGCGUAGAACCUUACCUGGGUUUGACAUGGAUCGGGAGUGCUCAGAGAUGGGUGUGCCUCUUUUGGGGUCGGUUCACAGGUGGUGCAUGCCUGUCGUCAGCUCGUGUCGUGAGAUGUUGGGUUAAGUCCCGCAACGAGCGCAACCCUUGUUCACUGUUGCCAGCACGUUAUGGUGGGGACUCAGUGGAGACCGCCGGGGUCAACUCGGAGGAAGGUGGGGAUGACGUCAAGUCCUCAUGCCCCUUAUGUCCAGGGCUUCACGCAUGCUACAAUGGCUGGUACAGAGAGUGGCGAGCCUGUGAGGGUGAGCGAAUCUCGGAAAGCCGGUCUCGGUUCGGAUUGGGGUCUGCAACUCGACCUCAUGAAGUCGGAGUCGCUAGUAAUCGCAGAUCAGCAACGCUGCGGUGAAUACGUUCCCGGG